rnacentral:lncRNA from 1 species
GGUUACUGAGGCAAUAUGGGAAACGAGGAAUAAGUUACCAGGGGCCUGUGGAAACUAGUGGCACCAAAGUGGACAGACUGAGACCGCAGAUCAGACUGGCAUCAAGAUAACAGCUGGGAAGUGACUGUGGGUUAAAUAUUCAUGGAUAACUUCCAGGCACUGGCUUACGCAGCUGUAAAAGAGACAUGUGCUGCCUCUCUCCAGGUAUCCAGAAAAGGCCCUCGUUCCUAAGACAACAAUUCAAGGUCAAGAGAACAAAAAAGAAAUUGAAAAAGCAGGUUCUUUAGGCCAAGGCGAC